ACUUAUUCUUUAGUUUGACAAUAUACCACACGAUACAGCUCUCUGCACAACUUAAAAACAUUUCUCCUUGUGUCUAUUGUAUUUACAACAGCUGAUAAGAUAGGAAAGUCGUCAAAGAUACAACAACGUCGACUCAUAAUCGUUAUUUAUAAAGGUAGAGAAGAGCGAAAAAAAAAAAACAAACAAACACUAAACGACCUCAAAUCC